rnacentral:rRNA from 1 species
GAUGAACGCUGGCGGCGUGCCUAAUACAUGCAAGUCGAGCGAACGGACGAGAAGCUUGCUUCUCUGAUGUUAGCGGCGGACGGGUGAGUAACACGUGGAUAACCUACUUAUAAGACUGGGAUAACUUCGGGAAACCGGAUCUACUACCGGAUAAUAUUUUGAACCGCAUGGUUCAAAAGUGAAAGACGGUUUUGCUGUCACUUAUAGAUGGAUCCGCGCUGCAUUAGCUAGUUGGUAAGGUAACGGCUUACCAAGGCAACGAUGCAUAGCCGACCUGAGAGGGUGAUCGGCCACACUGGAACUGAGACACGGUCCAGACUCCUACGGGAGGCAGCAGUAGGGAAUCUUCCGCAAUGGGCGAAAGCCUGACGGAGCAACGCCGCGUGAGUGAUGAAGGUCUUCGGAUCGUAAAACUCUGUUAUUAGGGAAGAACAUAUGUGUAAGUAACUGUGCACAUCUUGACGGUACCUAAUCAGAAAGCCACGGCUAACUACGUG